GUCCACGCCGUAAACGAUGUCGACUUGGAGGUUGUGCCCUUGAGGCGUGGCUUCCGGAGCUAACGCGUUAAGUCGACCGCCUGGGGAGUACGGCCGCAAGGUUAAAACUCAAAUGAAUUGACGGGGGCCCGCACAAGCGGUGGAGCAUGUGGUUUAAUUCGAUGCAACGCGAAGAACCUUACCUGGUCUUGACAUCCAUGGAAGUUUUCAGAGAUGAGAAUGUGCCUUCGGGAACCGUGAGACAGGUGCUGCAUGGCUGUCGUCAGCUCGUGUUGUGAAAUGUUGGGUUAAGUCCCGCAACGAGCGCAACCCUUAUCCUUUGUUGCCAGCGGUCCGGCCGGGAACUCAAAGGAGACUGCCAGUGAUAAACUGGAGGAAGGUGGGGAUGACGUCAAGUCAUCAUGGCCCUUACGACCAGGGCUACACACGUGCUACAAUGGCGCAUACAAAGAGAAGCGACCUCGCGAGAGCAAGCGGACCUCAUAAAGUGCGUCGUAGUCCGGAUUGGAGUCUGCAACUCGACUCCAUGAAGUCGGAAUCGCUAGUAAUCGUGGAUCAGAAUGCCACGGUGAAUACGUUCCCGGGCCUUGUACACACCGCCCGUCACACCAUGGGAGUGGGUUGCAAAAGAAGUAGGUAGCUUAACCUUCGGGAGGGCGCUUACCACUUUGUGAUUCAUGACUGG
rnacentral:rRNA from 1 species